ensembl:lncRNA
GGGGGAAAGGUAGAGAGAGACUGGGGGGGAAAGGUAGAGAGAGACCGGGGGAGAAAGGUAGAGAGAGACCGGGGGAGAAAGGUAGAGAGAGACCGGGGGAGAAAGGUAGAGAGAACGGGGGAAGAAGGAGAGUUACCAGGGGGAGAGAGAGGGAGAGAGAGAGAACAGGGGGAGAAAGAGGGAGAGAGAGAAUGGGGAGAAAGAGGGAGAGAGAGAAUGGGGAGAGAGAGGGAGAGAGAGACUGGGGGGAGAAAGAGAAUGAAAGAGAACAGGGAGAGAGAGAGAUCAGGUUGAGAAAGAGGGAGCGAUAGGGAGAGACAGAUUGGGGGAGAGAGAGGGGCUGGAGGAAAGAGAGACUGGGGGAGAGAGAGGGGCUGGAGGAAAGAGAGACUGGGGGAAAGAGAGGGGCUGGAGGAAAGAGAGACUGGGGGA